CGGAGGAAAGGUGAGGAGAAGCAUCCAAUCUCUAGCCUCAGCCACACUCAUUAUUUUGGGCACCAGCAACUGCUGCCUCUUGCUGGCAUCACACAUAGGGAGGAGCAGGAGCUGUGUCAUUUGGGUUAGGCCACCUGCCACUGAGAAUUUCAAAUGGAGAUCAAUUCUACUCUGAGGAGAAGAAGCGCAUAAGCUUAGCUUCCUUUUAAAAGUACAGAGACACCAGAGGCCUGAUCAAGAUCCCACUGAGAUCUAUUGAUUGACUCCCAUGGACUUCAGUGGUGGCUCUGUCAGGGCCCUGAGCUACAAGAAUAUAUUUCCAUCCAAGAUGCUGAUCAGUUGAAUAAACCACUUGAGCUUUGAUGAUGUAAACACCUGCUGCACCUAUACCUGUUAUUUUAGGAGAGGCUUCAACGCCUCUUCAAAGUCCUAAUCAACUGAAGCUGCCCGAGCACAUCCAGAUUCUUCCCACCGACUUCAGAGAAUCUGGUGGACUGCAGGACAGCCUUUGUUGCCUAUUCUAAUUAGUUUUAUCAGUCCCACAGCUUUGAAGUGUGGCCUGCUGGGGGCCUCCUCAGCAGUGCUAUAUUGUAAUAAUGCAGGGCUGCAUGCACAAACUUCAGAACUGGUCAAAGAGUCAUGAUUAUUUUUCACUAAAUAAAGAAAACUGCAAAAUAUUUUUUCAGCAGAUUUUCAAAAAGAAUGAGUUUGUUUUAUAUGAACAUUUGCACAAUUCUUUUUUUAGGUUUGUUUGGUUUUCAUUAUCAGACCUUUUUUCUUUUUUUCUGCUCCUGUAUC